ACACGCAUGACACACUGCAUAUCAAUAAGCGGAGGAAAAGAAACUAACAAGGAUUCCCCUAGUAACGGCGAGUGAAGCGGGAAGAGCUCAAAUUUGAAAUCUUAAAGGGUUUCCCUUUACGAAUUGUAGUUUAAAGAAGUGUUUUCUGUUGGAGUUUCGGUAAAAGUUCUUUGGAAUAGGACAUCAUAGAGGGUGAGAAUCCCGUAUUUGACCGUUACUUUCCAGCUGUGUGAUACACUUUCAAAGAGUCGGAUUGUUUGGGAAUGCAGUCCAAAAUGGGUGGCAAAUUUCAUCUAAAGCUAAAUAUUGGCGAGAGACCGAUAGCGAACAAGUACCGUGAGGGAAAGAUGAAAAGAACUUUGAAAAGAGAGUUAAACAGUACGUGAAAUUGUCAAAAGGGAAGCGUUUGACACCAGUGUUGUUUAGUUGAAAAUCAAUUCAAUAAUUUUUGAUUUUAAGUAGUAUUGACUUCAUCAGCUUGCUGCUUUCUUUUCAGGAAUUAUUGAAUGCACUUUUCAGUUAACAAGUCAACAUCAAUUUCUUUUGUUGUAAAAGGGUAAGAGGAAGGUGGCUUACGCUUCGGCGUAAGUGUUUAUAGCCUUUUACCUCUGCAAUCGGAGAGAUUGAGGACAGCAGCGUAGACUCCUUCGGGGUUAGAUACACUUGUGCUAAGCUAUAGCCUUGUAUAGACAACUUGUUGACUAUGCUCAGUCAUGUAGCUUACUCGCUUAGUGCUAUUUUACCUACGCUUAGGAUGUUGAGCGCAUGUCUCUCUCU
rnacentral:rRNA from 1 species